CCAGAUGGAAGAAUGUGAUAUGCACAUUUGGAGUCUGUCUUUCUUGGGGAAGAAAACACAUGCACAAAUCCUGGUGUAAGGAAUAUUUUAAGCAUAUAUCUUCAAUAUCAUUCAUCCAGGACCGAGCAAGACCAACACUCUUCCUCCUCCUCUGCCUACUCAAUGUGAAGACAAUGAGGAUGAACACCUUUAUGAUGCUCCACUUCCACUUAUUGAAUAGUGCUACACAUGAAACUUGUAACCAGUUACUACAGGCGAAAGCAAAUCCAUGUCUUCAGGCUGGUGUCAUCAGGGAGAGAAGCUUUGGUUUCCACAUAAGGAUAUAAGAUCAUUGAUGUAAAACAAGACAUGUAACCUCUCAAAUUGAGAGAAUGUAUUGGAGAUCUAUUGUUGACCAUGUUUUCCCCUGUAUCUCACCUUCCCCUCUCCAAGACUUCCUUGUCAGUUACCCAUAUUGAUAUCAGUUUAUCCACAUCCAUGCUUUCAAGUUUAAACAAAGAAACUAGGCAAAGGCAGCUACAUAUUCGCUAGGAUUAGGGAGGAGAAGAUAAUCAACCACUGGGUAGUGAGAAGAAAGAGAGGUGGAGAAAGUGAGAGACCCCAGUAAUAGAGGACAGGGACACAUUGCUAAGGAUAGGGACACAUUCACUGUAAUAUAGAAAGCCAUGCUUAUAUGUAAAAUAUGCAAUAGUUGUAUAUAUAUGUACAAAAGUGAUAACACACAUAUGCACAUAAACAAAACACAAUUACUAUCUAUGUUUCUUUAUUUGUGACCUAAUGUUUUAUGUUGUUUGUAACUGAAAAAAAAAUUCCCUUCUGAAUAAAAUGUCAAUUUCGUGAUUGCA
rnacentral:lncRNA from 1 species